AGGCCGGGGAAGUUACUUGUUUUCAGGAUGAAAGCAACCCAGGGAUGGUGGUAUCUGUUAUGGAUGUCAGAUACCGUAAGGUUGUUUCAGGAUGAAGUAACCUGCUCUGCCUGAGCUAAACCCCCCUCCGCAGGAGGGAAGUUACUGUCGGGGAUAGACAGUGACGCAUUGAGCCAGAAAGUCCGGUCAGGAUGACCAGGCGGAUACUGAUAAAGCUCAAUGAACGCAGGGAGCACGAUUGUAGCCGGAUUGCUGCGAACAGACUGGGAGUACUGUAUUUUUACAGUACUCCCUUUUUUAUGC
rnacentral:other from 1 species